rnacentral:tRNA from 1 species
GCACCUUUGGAGUACCUAAACACCUUUACUUUUAAUCAAGGUGUCCGGGGUUCGAAUCCCCGAUGGGUCACCA